rnacentral:lncRNA from 1 species
GGGGCUUGCCUUGAUCUGUAAAAAGGUUAGCGUUGUUCGACGGACUGGCGUCACAGGGGAUCAAUUCAACAAUCUCCUCAAACUCUCAAGGUCCUUCAGAUAAAUCCAAGAAUUCCCCUUCUGGAGCUUUGGUGUCUACGAUUUAGUACAUGCAGGGGUUAGAGAUGCAAAUUUUUGAACACAAGACUAUACAACUUUCCUUCAUGAUAAAGUUGCAAGCCAACUAGUGACUAUACAAGCUAUCAUCCUGAUAAAGUAGUAAGCCAACACUAAAUUACCCAUAAAGAUUAACCCACCAUUUUUAUUCUCUUUACUAACCUAUCUUAGGCCUUUUUCUUUUAUUUUUAGAAAGCAUUAUAAUUAUUUUCUAAUCUCAAAACUUAAUUCCUAUAGAUUAAUAAUAAUUUGUGAGUAAGAAAACAUUAUUCAAAAUUUUAUGCAUUUAAUAAAGGUUAAGCUUUUAUUUAAAUACCUUAAUCAAAAGGCAUUAAAUAAAUACAUAAAUUUUAUUAUUUUCCUAAGGUUUAAAAAUUUUAAUGCAUAAGGAAAAUAAAACAAUCCUAAUAAAGUUGGUUUCACUAUUUUUGGACACUUCUAGAAUUUCCUGUGAUUUAAAUGGUGAAAACCGAAUUUACACUAUUUAUCCACAAAAGGAAAAACCUAAGAUUAUCCAACUCCACUCCUUUCUACCCCUCUCUCUCAUGCGCUGGGCCCACUGGACCGACCCUACCUUCCCUUCCUGUUCUACCCGCCGGCCCACCCUUUCCC